GACGAACGCUGGCGGCGUGCUUAACACAUGCAAGUCGAACGGAAAGGCCCUGCUUUUGUGGGGUGCUCGAGUGGCGAACGGGUGAGUAACACGUGAGUAACCUGCCCUUGACUUUGGGAUAACUUCAGGAAACUGGGGCUAAUACCGGAGAGGAGCUCCUGCUGCAUGGUGGGGGUUGGAAAGUUUCGGCGGUUGGGGAUAGACUCGCGGGUUAUCAGCUGGUUGGUGGGGUAGUGGCUUACCACGGCUUUGACGGGUAGCCGGCCUGGGAGGGUGGCCGGCGACCUUGGGACUGAGAUACGGCGCAGACUCCUACGGGAGGCAGCGGUGGGGAAUAUUGCACAAUGGGCGGAAGCCUGAUGCAGCAGCGCCGCGUGCGGGAUGACGGCCUUCGAGUUGUAAACCGCUUUCGCCUGUGACGAAGCGUGAGUGACGGUAAUGGGUAAAGAAGCACCGGCUAACUACGUG
rnacentral:rRNA from 1 species